CAGAGAAUAGUUUAUUUAUAAAAAUUUUAAUUUUGGGGAUUAAGGAUGAAAAUUUUCUUCUCUGA
rnacentral:tRNA from 1 species